GAGCAGACUUGACUGUAUUCCUGAUUCUUAUAUGACAAGGGACGCCUACUGGCAAAAUGUGGUCCAGACGAAAAGGCAGAUGUCGUUUGAAGUUAAAAAACCGAUAAGGUGGAUUGCUAUAGACACAACAAUUGGAAUAAUAACUGCUUUUUGUUAUGUCAAAACGGCAACGUAGUUGAAUCCCUGAAACCGCUUGAACGAGUCUAUUCUGCAACUAAAGGAUAAGCAGGCUGUUACGAGCAUCCGCCCAACACCGAAUCUCUGAGCUCGAGAUCACAUGAGGCAUUUUGUGGUACGAUGUGGCUAAUAACAACAACAGGUAGAUAUCA